AGAAACACAGAGUGUUCCAGCAGCUACUGUCACUACAGGUACACACAGACAUUUCAUACACUAUUCCUACAACACUUCAAAUGUUUAAUGAGCUUUUCAUCUGAAGGUGAAACCUCUGAUCUGUCAAGUAGCACUGUUGUUUCUAGUUCUGCUUCCUCAACAGCAUCAGCUAAUGCAGAAACACAGAGUGUUCCAGCAGCUACUGUCACCACAGGUGAAACUUCUGAUUUGUCAAGUAGCGCUGCUGUUCAUACUUCCACAACAGCGUCAGGUAAAUAAACAUGUAGGUUUGUUAAGGAGUCACACAAAUUGAGAAACACUGACAUCUGAGAAUAUAAAACAUGACUGUAAAAAUAACAUGUGAAGAUAGAUGCUUCACAUUUAAUAUAGUAAUAUUUAUUAAACAAUUGACAGGUGAGACUGCUGGUCUUUCCACUGGUAUUUCUU